UACAGAGGGUGCGAGCGUUAAUCGGAAUUACUGGGCGUAAAGCGUGCGUAGACGGUUAUGUAAGUCGGGUGUGAAAGCCCCGGGCUCAACCUGGGAAUGCCAUUCGAGACUGCAUAGCUAGGGUGCGGAAGAGGGAAGCGGAAUUUCAGGUGUAGCGGUGAAAUGCGUAGAUAUCUGGAGGAACACCGGUGGCGAAGGCGGCAUCCUGGACCGGCAUUGACGCUGAGGAGCGAAAGCCAGGGGAGCAAACGGG
rnacentral:rRNA from 1 species